UUUUAAUGAUGAUUACCUUAUCACCAUCUUUCGACUGUACAUCCUUGAUGUUAUCCUCUUUUUUAACUGAUUUGAAAU
rnacentral:snoRNA from 1 species